rnacentral:rRNA from 1 species
AGAGUUUGAUCCUGGCUCAGGAUAAACGCUGGCGGCGCACAUAAGACAUGCAAGUCGAACGGACUUAACUCAUUCUUAUAGAUUGAGAGCGGUUAGUGGCGGACUGGUGAGUAAAACGUAAGCAACCUGCCUAUUAGAGGGGAACAACAGUUAGAAAUGACUGCUAAUACCGCAUAUGCCAUGAGUAUCGCAUGAUGCAAAUGGGAAAGGAGAAAUCCGCUAAUAGAUGGGCUUACGGCUGAUUAGCUAGUUGGUGGGGUAAAGGCUUACCAAGGCGACGAUCAGUAGCCGGACUGAGAGGUUGAACGGCCACAUUGGGACUGAGAUACGGCCCAGACUCCUACGGGAGGCAGCAGUCGGGAAUUUUGCGCAAUGGAGGAAACUCUGACGCAGUGACGCCGCGUGCAGGAAGAAGGUUUUCGGAUUGUAAACUGCUUUAGACAGGGAAGAAAAAGACAGUACCUGUAGAAUAAGCUCUGGCUAACUACGUGCCAGCAGCCGCGGUAAUACGUAGGGAGCGAGCGUUAUCCGGAUUUAUUGGGUGUAAAGGGUGCGUAGACGGGAUAAUAAGUUAGCUGUGAAAGCCCUCUGCUUAACGGAGGAACUGCAACUAAAACUGUUAUUCUUGAGUACUGGAGAGGAAAGUGGAAUUCCUAGUGUAGCGGUGAAAUGCGUAGAUAUUAGGAGGAACACCAGUGGCGAAGGCGACUUUCUGGACAGAAACUGACGUUGAGGCACGAAAGUGUGGGGAGCAAACAGGAUUAGAUACCCUGGUAGUCCACACUGUAAACGAUGGAUAC